GUAAGGAAUAUUGGGCAAUGGUCGGAAGACUGACCCAGCCAUGCCGCGUGCAGGAAGACGGCCCUCUGGGUUGUAAACUGCUUUUAUCUGGGAAGAAAAAGGCCAUGCGUGGCAAAUUGCCGGUACCAGAUGAAUAAGCACCGGCUAACUCCGUGCCAGCAGCCGCGGUAAUACGGAGGGUGCGAGCGUUGUCCGGAUUUAUUGGGUUUAAAGGGUGCGUAGGCGGCUGAUUAAGUCAGCGGUGAAAGACUUCGGCUUAACCGGAGCAGUGCCGUUGAUACUGGUUGGCUUGAGUGUCGGAGGGGUACAUGGAAUUGAUGGUGUAGCGGUGAAAUGCAUAGAUACCAUCAGGAACACCGAUAGCGAAGGCAUUGUACUGGCCGACAACUGACGCUGAUGCACGAAAGUGUGGGGAUCGAACAGGAUUAGAUACCCGUGUAGUCC
rnacentral:rRNA from 1 species